GGGGAAUUUUGGACAAUGGGGGAAACCCUGAUCCAGCCAUGCCGCGUGCGGGAUGAAGGCCUUCGGGUUGUAAACCGCUUUUGUCAGAGACGAAAAGGGACGUACGAAUAAUACGUUCCGCUGACGGUAUCUGAAGAAUAAGCACCGGCUAACUACGUGCCGGCAGCCGCGGUAAUACGUAGGGUGCAAGCGUUAAUCGGAAUUACUGGGCGUAAAGGGUGCGCAGGCGGCUGUGCAAGACAGAUGUGAAAUCCCCGGGCUUAACCUGGGAACUGCAUUUGUGACUGCACGGCUAGAGUUUGUCAGAGGAGGGUGGAAUUCCGCGUGUAGCAGUGAAAUGCGUAGAUAUGCGGAAGAACACCAAUGGCGAAGGCAGCCCUCUGGGACAUGACUGACGCUCAGGUGCGAAAGCGUGGGGAGCAAAC
rnacentral:rRNA from 1 species